GAUGAACGCUGGCGGCGUGCCUAAUACAUGCAAGUCGAGCGAACAGACGAGGAGCUUGCUCCUCUGACGUUAGCGGCGGACGGGUGAGUAACACGUGGAUAACCUACCUAUAGGACUGGGAUAACUUCGGGAAACCGGAGCUAAUACCGGAUAAUAUAUUGAACCGCAUGGUUCAUUAGUGAAAGACGGUUUUGCUGUCACUUAUAGAUGGAUCCGCGCCGCAUUAGCUAGUUGGUAAGGUAACGGCUUACCAAGGCAACGAUGCGUAGCCGACCUGAGAGGGUGAUCGGCCACACUGGAACUGAGACACGGUCCAGACUCCUACGGGAGGCAGCAGUAGGGAAUCUUCCGCAAUGGGCGAAAGCCUGACGGAGCAACGCCGCGUGAGUGAUGAAGGUCUUCGGAUCGUAAAACUCUGUUAUUAGGGAAGAACAAAUGUGUAAGUAACUAUGCACGUCUUGACGGUACCUAAUCAGAAAGCCACGGCUAACUACGUG
rnacentral:rRNA from 1 species